CUGGAUUUCUUUACAACAUAUGUCGGUAUUGAGCUUCAUGGUAAACUGGAAAGGUUUAAUCCAGUUUCGAAGUUUGCUAUCAGUUUGUUGUAUGGCCUUUUCUGUCUUCUCACAUAUUUCACAUGACCAGUUGAAAAUAGCCUUCAACAUAGAAAACUGAUUGUUAAGAAUAAGACUUACCAACCUAUAACUAACCAUUAUUGUCAUUUUUCUAACCUGUGUAUAAGUUAAAACAAUUGAGAGUGAUAGCUCUAUAAAAGUAUUUUAUUGUAGGUAAUAAAAAUAGAGGUAUAUUUUACAACAAAUUUCUAAAAGAUAGACAAAUUUGCAUUAUAAUUUAGAAAAUAAUUAGUCAUUGACAACCAAAACUCGUUUAAUUAUACAAACAAAAGAUCAUAAGAGAUAAGUAGAUUCAUUUUUACAGUGAUAGGGUAUUAGUCUCGAAACAGGCUUAGCCACAUUAUGAUUUGCCUUUUAAUCUUUCCGUUUAUACCAACUUCUCUUUUUCGUUCUCUCGUAUGCCAAAACACUAUAUACAUUUUAUCAAGCAAAAAGAAAAAAAAAAUAGAAAAAAGUGAAUACAGCUGAAAUAAAUAAAAGAGGGGCAGCUUGUGUAUAUAACAAAUGCAAUUUGUGAACAAUAACCCCAUAAAAGUGAAAAUGACAAUAGAUGGAAGAGCCAAAAUACCAUCUUAAGAAAAAGUACAAGGACAAUCAUAAUCCAUGGAGUCUUGUUAUUUUUCUAAAAUAAGGUAUGAAAUUCACAAAUCACGAUAAGCAACUACAAGAAAGAAAUUAAUUUGACUACACUGAGAUGGCAGUUACUAUUUAUCACCUUCACACUUUUAGUAUUCAGUGUAUAAUUAAUAUUUAAUUAAUUAUAUAUUAUAAAUUUUAUGAUAUUUUGGUUUAACGUAGGGGUAAAAUGACAAUCCCACUUUUCCCCUAAAUUCUUUCCGCUUUUAGUAUAAAAUAUGAUAGAUCAGAUAAGUCAUUAAUGCAUCAGUUUCCAGCAAGCAGAGUUGGAGAGUUCUUCUGAAUACUCUUCAUCCGAGUUCUGGCUCUUCAGUAUUUGACUCUGCAAAGUCGGGAGAAAGUCUACAGGUCCUUGUUGAGGGACUGGAUGAGUACAUGUGGGAUAAUGAUGAGGAGUCUAUUAUGUCUAGGAAGUUCUCUAGGGAAUGNNNNNNNNNNNNNNNNNNNNNNNNNNNNNNNNNNNAAAUAGAAUACACUCUUUGUUAUUAUCCCACUCAUACUCAUCUAGUCUCCUAACAGGAACCAGAAUGUGAGUGAAGUAAAAGAUUUUGGCUGCAAUGAAAGUAAACAGUGAAUGGCAAAGGGGAAGGUAGGGACUAUUUAAAUGAAAUAAUGAGACUAUACUAAUCAAGAUUCAUGAAUUGAGGAUAAAAACAACCUUGUAACAAGAGACUAUAGAAUCAAAAGUCAAGAAUUGAGGAUAGUAACAAAUUUAAAACAUUACUUAAUAAUUCAUUUGGACAGAGAAAUAGGAGACUAGAGAAUCAAAAGUCAACAAUUGAGGAUAGUAACAAAUUUAAAACAUUACUUAUUAAUUCAUUUGGAGAGAGAAAUAUUAGUCUAGAGAAUCAAAAGUCAAGAAUUGAGGAUAGUAACAAAUUUAAAGUGAUUGUUGGAAUUUAGUUACCAUAAUUACAAUCCUUUUUCAUGUUUUAAAGCUGCUAAUUCUCUGAGUAAUAUACCUGGAAUUUUCUCCAUUACCUUGUUGUUUUUUCAAAUGGUACAAGUCUGUUUUGGGAAGUUUAUAAUUAGUUUGUAACAUCUAAUUCCUUAUUUAUUUUUGGUGCACCCUCUUAAUUUUGAGAUAUUUAGAGGAUUGGGUGUCUUUUGUAAUAAUGAUAUCUGUUUGUAGGAUCUUUACCUUCUUGUAUACAGACGACUUUGGCCUUUUGAUUUAUGAAAUGAAAUUGUUUACCCACUAAACAAAUAAGACAGAGAUUACUUCAAUCAAGAUUGAAAAUUGUUGCUAUCAACAAAUUUGAAACCAGAGACAAAAAUCCAGUAAAACAAUUGAGGAUAAGAACCAUCUUAACUAACACCAGAGGAAAAAGACAUCUUUCUUGAGCAUCUUCAUACUCGUGUCACUACCAUUCUAGUUCUUGGACAUUACUAUUGAUGAGUCCAUUCUAAAGUGCUUGUGACUUUUCUGUCUUUAAUUAGCUUAACAAACUACUAGUAUUCUUCUAAAGGUUCUUUGGUUUGUGUUGGGUUCGGAUUUUGUGAGGUAUGGAUGUCGAGUAAUAGAAGAAAUUCAGGGUUAUUUGCUCAAGUGGAAGAUUUACCUCCAGAAAGGCACAAAGAAAAAUCCAAAGAUUUAGGGAUGAGAGAGUACAUAGCUAUAAGAUACCGCACACGUAUAGCAAUCUGCAUGCUUGUGUUGACCGAUAAUUACAUAACUAAUAUUGACAUGUAUAUGCAUUCACAAAAAAUAUACAUUUCUGGAAAAGAAGAUAAUAGAUUCUGCAAUUAUAUCACAUCCUAAAUGAAGCAGCACCAUAUUAAGAGGGUAUUUUAAUUUUGCAAAAAAAAAUUGCAUGAUGUGUAUACCUAAUAUUAUGUAGUUAUUACACGUCUAUUCAUACAAACAACCACAAGUAGAGAGGCUAUUUCAGAUAGAUCCUCAAUCAAGUAAAGGUGCGAAACAAUCUAAUAUGCAUAACCUGGUAAUGUCUAUCAACAAUUAUACCAAUAAAAUCAUAAAACCGCAAUAAAAAGCCAUUCAAAACCUGUAGUACAUAUCGAGUAAGAAACAAAUUUGUUUGAGAUCAUCUACUCAAAUGAACAUGAGAACUAAGUUAUGGUUGUCUUCGAAUUAUGGCUAAAUCAUAGAAUCAUCAAAAAAAGCAAGUGUUAGGGUCGAGAACCCGAUUAUUGCGGAAUUUAGCUAAACAUUGUUAUAAUGACAAUAUAAAAGACAAUAACAAGUUGAUAAUAACGGUAAUUAAAAAAAUUAAAGGAGACACAAAUUUAAUGUAGUUCGGUAAGUUUGACCUACGUCCACGAGCGGAGAAGAACAAUUUCACUGUAUCACCUGGAGUACAAUAUAGAGAUUACAAAAUUAGAGCAGUCACUCUAAUUAACCCAAAUAUCCCAAGAGAAG
rnacentral:lncRNA from 1 species